rnacentral:misc_RNA from 1 species
GAAUUGCGAUAUGUAAUGUGAAUUGCAGAAUUCAGUGAAUCAUCGAAUCUUUGAACGCACCUUGCACCCUCUGGUAUUCUGGAGGGUAUGCCUGUUUGAGUGUCAUUAAUCUCUCAACACAAGAAAACUUGUUUCUUGUGCUUGGAUAUUGAAGGUUUUGCUGGCGCAAAUAACUGUCAGCUCCUUUUAAAUGCAUUAGCAGAGCAGUGUAGGACUGGCCUCAGUUUGAUAAGAAAUAUUUAUCUAUGCUGUCGCUAGAUUUCCUCUUUGUGUUCAGCUUCAAACUGUCUUCGGACUGUCUCUCUUGAGGCAAAACAAUUCAUUGAUCGACCUCAAAUCAGGUAGGACUACCCGCUGAACUUAA